ACGGAGGGGGCGAGCGUUGUUCGGAAUUACUGGGCGUAAAGGGCGUGUAGGCGGCCUUGUCAGUCAGGCGUGAAAUCCCCGGGCUCAACCUGGGACGUGCGCUUGAUACUGCAGGGCUUGAGAGCGAGAGAGGUAAGCGGAAUUCCCAGUGUAGAGGUGAAAUUCGUAGAUAUUGGGAAGAACACCGGUGGCGAAGGCGGCUUACUGGCUCGUUUCUGACGCUGAGGCGCGAAAGCGUGGGGAGCGAACAGG
rnacentral:rRNA from 1 species